AUUGAACGCUGGCGGCAGGCCUAACACAUGCAAGUCGAACGGAGCGGCGGACGGGGGAGUAAUGCCUAGGAAUCUGCCUGGUACUGGGGGAUAACGUCCGGAAACGGGCGCUAAUACCACAUCCUAUCAGAUGCGCCUAGGUCGGAUUAGCUAGGUGGUGGGGUAAGGGCCUACCAAGGCGACGAUCCGUAACUGGUCUGAGAGGAUGAUCAGUCAAACGGGAACUGAGACACGGUCCAGACUCCUACGGGAGGCAGCAUUGGGGAAUAUUGGACAAUGGGCGAAAGCCUGAUGCAGCCAUGCCGCGUGUGUGAAGAAGGUCUUCGGAUUGUAAAGCACUUUAAGUUGGGAGGCGUUACCAACAGAAUAAGCACCGGCUAACUUCGUGCCAGCAGCCGCGGUAAUUC
rnacentral:rRNA from 1 species